rnacentral:rRNA from 1 species
GUCUCAGUUCAGAUUGCAGGCUGCAACUCGCCUGCAUGAAGUCGGAAUUGCUAGUAAUCGCAGAUCAGCAUGCUGUGGUGAAUACGUUCCCGGGCCUUGUACACACCGCCCGUCACACCAUGGGAGUCGGUAACACCCGAAGUCGGUAGCCUAACCGUAAGGAGGGCGCCGCCGAAGGUGGGAUUGAUGACUGGGGUGAAGUCGUAACAAGGUAUC